GUGAGGUGGCUGAGUGGCUGAAAGCGCAUGACUCGAAAUCAUGUUUAGGGCUUGCUCUAACGUGGGUUCAAAUCCCACCCUCAC
rnacentral:tRNA from 1 species